rnacentral:rRNA from 1 species
UUGUGAGGUUAAGCGACUAAGCGUACACGGUGGAUGCCCUGGCAGUCAGAGGCGAUGAAGGACGUGCUAAUCUGCGAUAAGCGUCGGUGAGGUGAUAUGAACCGUUAUAACCGGCGAUUUCCGAAUGGGGAAACCCAGUGUGUUUCGACACACUAUCAUUAACUGAAUCCAUAGGUUAAUGAGGCGAACCGGGGGAACUGAAACAUCUAAGUACCCCGAGGAAAAGAAAUCAACCGAGAUUCCCCCAGUAGCGGCGAGCGAACGGGGAGGAGCCCAGAGCCUGAAUCAGUGUGUGUGUUAGUGGAAGCGUCUGGAAAGGCGCGCGAUACAGGGUGACAGCCCCGUACACAAAAAUGCACAUAUUGUGAGCUCGAUGAGUAGGGCGGGACACGUGGUAUCCUGUCUGAAUAUGGGGGGACCAUCCUCCAAGGCUAAAUACUCCUGACUGACCGAUAGUGAACCAGUACCGUGAGGGAAAGGCGAAAAGAACCCCGGCGAGGGGAGUGAAAAAGAACCUGAAACCGUGUACGUACAAGCAGUGGGAGCCUCUUAAUGGGGUGACUGCGUACCUUUUGUAUAAUGGGUCAGCGACUUAUAUUCUGUAGCAAGGUUAACCGAAUAGGGGAGCCGAAGGGAAACCGAGUCUUAACUGGGCGUUAAGU